ACGUAGGAGGCAAGCGUUAUCCGGAGUUACUGGGCGUAAAGGGCGUGCAGGCGGUUGGCUAAGUUCGUUGUGAAAUCUCCUGGCUUAACUGGGAGGGGUCGUUGGAAACUGGUCGGCUUGAGGCAGUGAGAGGGGUGUGGAAUUCCCGGUGUAGUGGUGGAAUGCGUAGAUAUCGGGAGGAACACCAGUGGCGAAAGCGGCGCCCUGGCACUGGCCUGACGCUCAUGUGCGAAAGCGGGGGGAGCGAACGG
rnacentral:rRNA from 1 species